AACGAACGCUGGCGGCAUGCCUAACACAUGCAAGUCGAACGAGACCUUCGGGUCUAGUGGCGCACGGGUGCGUAACGCGUGGGAACCUGCCCUUAGGUUCGGAAUAACUCCCCGAAAGGGGUGCUAAUACCGGAUAAUGUCUUCGGACCAAAGAUUUAUCGCCUUUGGAUGGGCCCGCGUUGGAUUAGCUAGUUGGUAGGGUAAAAGCCUACCAAGGCGACGAUGCAUAGCUGGUCUGAGAGGAUGAUCAGCCACACUGGGACUGAGACACGGCCCAGACUCCUACGGGAGGCAGCAGUGGGGAAUAUUGGACAAGGGGCGAAAGCCUGAUCCAGCAAUGCCGCGUGAGUGAUGAAGGCCUUAGGGUUGUAAAGCUCUUUUACCCGGGAUGAUAAUGACAGUACCGGGAGAAUAAGCUCCGGCUAACUCCGUG
rnacentral:rRNA from 1 species